CUUGGAUGUGUUUUCCUGUGCUAAUGUUUGGCAGGCACGUGAGAUAACAGUAAAAAUGCAAUGUGUAGUCCUUGUCUGGGGAAUGCAGGCGUAGUUGAAAAGCAAGAUUUAAGAUGUGCACCCACUGUGUAGCUGAUAUACUUUGGUGACAAUGAAAACCAUGGUGCAUCCAACUCAAUCCCAGGUGCAACCAAAACAAGUGAAUCAUUCAUUGCUACAUGGAGAAACAUCUGCAAAGCUGUGGAGCAAACUGAGGGUAUAACAAAGUGAAUGAAGG
rnacentral:lncRNA from 1 species